rnacentral:rRNA from 1 species
GACGAAGGAUCCAAGCGUUAUCCGGAUUUAUUGGGUUUAAAGGGUGCGUAGGCGGAUUGAUAAGUCAGUGGUGAAAGCCUGCAGCUUAACUGCAGAACUGCCAUUGAUACUGUCAAUCUUGAAUAUGGUUGAUGUGGGCGGAAUAUGACAUGUAGCGGUGAAAUGCUUAGAUAUGUCAUAGAACACCGAUUGCGAAGGCAGCUCACAAAGCCAUUAUUGACGCUGAGGCACGAAAGCGUGGGGGAUCAAACAGG